ensembl:miRNA Mir124-3 microRNA 124-3
UGAGGGCCCCUCUGCGUGUUCACAGCGGACCUUGAUUUAAUGUCUAUACAAUUAAGGCACGCGGUGAAUGCCAAGAGAGGCGCCUCC